rnacentral:misc_RNA from 1 species
ACCUCUCAACCCCGUUAAAGGCUUAAUUGACUUUGAUUGCUUGGGCUUGGAUCAUGGUCUCUUGUCGUUGUAUAACGACUUGACUGAAAUACAACAAGUUGAAUGAAUCCAUUUGCAGCUUGACCUGAUGUUGUAAACUACUCAUCGGGGAUGCAUAAGGAAGUCAAGGAACUUGAACAGAACCCCAUAUAGUACUUAGUACAAU